CUAGCCGCGUGUGUGAAGAAGGCCUUUUGGUUGUUAAAGCACUUUAAGCAGGGAGGAGAGGCUAAUGGUUAAUACCCAUUAGAUUAGACGUUACCUGCAGAAUAAGCACCGGCUAACUCUGUGCCAGCAGCCGCGGUAAUACAGAGGGUGCGAGCGUUAAUCGGAAUUACUGGGCGUAAAGCGAGUGUAGGUGGCUCAUUAAGUCACAUGUGAAAUCCCCGGGCUUAACCUGGGAACUGCAUGUGAUACUGGUGGUGCUAGAAUAUGUGAGAGGGAAGUAGAAUUCCUGGUGUAGCGGUGAAAUGCGUAGAGAUCAGGAAGAACAUCGGUGGCGAAGGCGCUCUGCUGGACCAUAACUGACACUCAGGGACGAAAGCUAGGGGAGCGAAUGGGAUUAGAUACCCCAGUAGUCCUAGCCGUAAACGAUGGAUACUAGGUGUUGUCUGUAUCGACCCGGACAGUGCCGUAGCUAACGCGUUAAGUAUCCCGCCUGGGGAGUACGCACGCAAGUGUGAAACUCAAAGGAAUUGACGG
rnacentral:rRNA from 1 species